ACGAAGCUGGAUUCGCUAGUAAUCGCGCAUCAGCCACGGCGCGGUGAAUACGUUCCCGGGCCUUGUACACACCGCUCGUCAAGCCAUGGGAGCCCGGGGGUACCUGAAGUGCGUAACCGCGAGGAGCGCCCUAGGGUAAAACUGGUGACUGGGGCUAAGUCGUAACAAGGUAGC
rnacentral:rRNA from 1 species